GCCUGCUAAUCUAGAGCCGCAGCUGCAUCUGAUUUUCGGAUUCGCCUCCCAAAACCCACCCGGUGCCCGGGGUGCCAAAAAUCGACACGCGCACCGGCCCUGUGCUAGACGCCCGUGCCGAGCCGACCUCCUCCGCCGCGGCGCGCCGCGAUGAGCCUCUCCCACCGCCUGCCCCCCGCCGCGGCGGCGGGGGAUCCCUACUACUUGUACGCGCCGCCGCCGCCGCCGCACCCGGACCCGCAGCGGCAGGGCGUCCUCACGCUCUUCGUCGCCGGCCUCCCCGACGACGUGAAGCCCCGCGAGAUCCACAACCUUUUUUCCCACCGCCCCGGCUUCGACCACUGCCUCCUCGAGUACACCGGCCGCGGCAACCAGGCGGUUGCAUUUGUGUCCUUCUUCACUCAUCAGGCGGCCCUGUCGGCAAUGACAGUUUUAAAUGGAACAGUUUUUGAUCCGGAGACUGGUGACCGUUUGCACAUUGAGCUAGCUAAAUCUACUUCACGCAGACCUCGUGGAGGCGGUGAUGUAUACCGAGUUAUCGACAAACGAGUUAACAUAACAGAAGGUAACGCUGACCAUGAGACAAUUGGUGAUGAAGGUGAUGAUGAAGCAUGGCGGGAGGAAGAGGAUGGUGAUAAUGAUGAUAACGGUGAUGAAGGAUCUGAUGAGCCAUCGGGCACCGAAAAUGAAAAUUCCAGCGUUAAGAAUGAAUUACCUGCGGAUCAGAGUGGUCGACCAGAGCACAAGCAGCGGAAAGGGCAAUCUCCAUCAAAUGAUGAACCAGACAAAACUUCAGGUGAUAUUCCACCUUGUUCUACUCUAUUUAUUGCGAAUUUGGGACAUGCAUGCACAGAGAAAGAGCUAACGGAAGUUUUAUCCAAGCAACCUGGAUUUCAUGUGCUUAAAAUGCGCCGCCGUGGUGGAAUGCCUGUAGCUUUUGCCGAUUUUAUGGAUACUGAAUCAUCUACAGCUGCUAUGAAUAACCUCAAAGGCACUACGCUGUCUUCUUCUGAUAAUGACGGAUUGCACAUUGAGUACGCAAGGUCAAAGAUGAGGAAAAGCUAGCUAGAUAGCAGUUGUUGGACUGCCAGGAUUGGCAUGUGAUUUCCGGUCCGGUCAUCCUGAAGGCAAAAUACAGGAAGAAUCCCAUUGAAAUCGAUCUAAGACACGUGAGCUCUCGAGAGACUUCUAGGAGCGACUCAUAGGCGAUUCGGUGACUUGGCCGGCACCCUCACCUCUGAUGGCCUCCCGACGUUGGAGCUGGAGGGUAGCCUGGCCCUGACGGUUGGGUUAGUUUAUCUAUUACGUAGCUUGGUAGUUAGGUUAGUAGUUUAAGUGUUUGUGUUUGUUUGUUGUGUUUUGGAAGAUGUUUGGUGAUAGGUAUGUGUAUGCGUAUGUGUUUAUGUAUGUGCGUUUGUUGUACUGUCUUUGUGAAGGAGUGCGAGCUUUAAGUUUGGGUCGACCACAUGCUCAUCGGAGGCGUCGGUUCUUCCUUUCGAGUCAUCGACGUGUUUCACGGUGUUGGGUUCCUUUCUAGCUGGCGAGCUUGCCCGAUGCGUUCAUCGCUCUCAAUGCAUUCUGGUAGCAGGAUGUUACUCUUGGUGGUUGCUGUAGUGAUAAUGGCUGUAUUAAGUCAUGAUUGUGAUUUUAGUGAUUAAUGACAAUAUAUUCACAAGACUAA